rnacentral:tRNA from 1 species
GCCGGAGUGGCGGAAAGGCAGACGCACGGGACUUAAAAUCCCGGGGGCUUCGCAGCCCGUGCGGGUUCAAAUCCCGCCUCCGGCA